CAACAGGGAUUGCCCUAGUAACGGCGAGUGAAGCGGCAACAGCUCAAAUUUGAAAUCUGGCUCUUUUAGAGUCCGAGUUGUAAUUUGCAGAGGGCGCUUUGGCUUUGGCAGCGGUCCAAGUUCCUUGGAACAGGACGUCACAGAGGGUGAGAAUCCCGUACGUGGUCGCUAGCUAUUGCCGUGUAAAGCCCCUUCGACGAGUCGAGUUGUUUGGGAAUGCAGCUCUAAAUGGGAGGUAAAUUUCUUCUAAAGCUAAAUAUUGGCCAGAGACCGAUAGCGCACAAGUAGAGUGAUCGAAAGAUGAAAAGCACUUUGGAAAGAGAGUCAAACAGCACGUGAAAUUGUUGAAAGGGAAGCGCUUGCAGCCAGACUUGCUUGCAGUUGCUCAUCCGGGCUUUUGCCCGGUGCACUCUUCUGCAGGCAGGCCAGCAUCAGUUUGGGCGGUGGGAUAAAGGUCUCUGACACGUUCCUUCCUU
rnacentral:rRNA from 1 species